GUAAAAAGUAUCUUGUUCUAGCAUUAUGAAUCUGGUUGAAGUUCAUGCUCAUUUAUUCUGUAUGUUUAUUUAUUUAUUCAUCUCUUUGUAGUUUUAGGACGUAUGGUUCAUUGAGCUCCCACAUGCUAUACCUAUAUAUCCACCAUUUUGAUAUAUGAUGAAUAUAAAAAAAAUACUUUUCUUCUGUCAAGACAAUGUCGCCUUCGUUGGAUGGGUCAAUGAAGACUAGGAAAACACUAUUUUCUGAAUUUUAUACCACACUUGCCCUUCUGAAGCUUCCGGCUGACUGUCAAAGUCAUCGAGUCAACAAAGUCUUAAGUCUUUCACAAGUGCCUUCUGAAGCUUUGAGCGAACCAUUCAAAGUCAUUGAGUCAGCAAAUUCCCAAGUCUUUCUAGCUUAGAGCACCAUCUAUCUGGUAAGAGGCUGGGAGGGCUUUCUGUUUGUUUGCGUUUCACAAUGGAAGCAAUCAUUUCUGAAAUUUAUACCACACUUGCCCUUCUGAAGCUUCUGGCUGACUGUCAAAGUCAUCGAGUCAACAAAGUCUUAAGUCUUUCGAGCUCAGAGCACCAUCUAUAUAGUGACGUGCUGGGAGGAGUUCCUGUUCAUUCGCGCUUCACAAUGGAGACAAUCAUCUCUGUGGUUCUUGGUGAUCUUGUUGGCAGAGCUAUAUCCUUCGUGGUCGAGAAGCGCCGCGAGAAGACAACCGCUGAGGAGGAUCUGCAGAGGCUGCGCCAGCUGCUUCUGAGGAUAAGUGCUGUUGUCGAGGAGGCUGAGGGGUGAUGUGUCACAAACCGGGGGAUGAUACAUCAAGCUAGCACGAUGCGAGAGCAAAUGUUCAGAGGGUACUACCUUCUCGAUGCCUUCAGGUGCAGAGAGAAGAAGACCGAUGACGAGGAGGUGAGUCACUUCUUGUUUGCUCAAUCCAAUUUCAAUCCGGCCAAGCGUUUUCGCCGCCUUUCUAGCAACACUCAGAUUGAGAGCACGGUAACUGUUAGAGUAAGCAGUCAGGAGCUUAGACAGGUUGUUCUUGGCCUAGAAAGCAUGCUUGUUGAUAUGAAGGAGUUUGCUAUAUUUCUGAUGAGCUACCCUCGCAUGUACCGCCAACCCUAUGGUGCAUAUUUAUUUGUGGACAAGUAUAUGUUUGGCCGCCAAAUGGAGAGGGAACAAGCCAUCCACUUCUUGCUACAAGCAGAGCUUCCGUAGGGAAAUGUGGGUGUCCUUCCAGUUGUUGGUUCUGCAUAUGUUGGGAAGAGCACUCUUGUGGAACAUGUUUGCAACGAUGAGCGUGUACAAAACCACUUCUCCUUGAUCUUGCUCUACAUUGGAAACAACCUUCAAGAUGAAACGAUGACAACUUUUAGAGAUCAUUGCGUGAUCAAGCAUCAAAAUAUUUCCUUGGAUGAAGAGAAGUCGUUGGUAGUCAUUGAGCUCUUAGGGGACGUGGACAAAGGAGUAUGGAAGAGACUGCUGCACUCUUCUGAACGAUGCAUGCCACAUGGGAGUAAGAUCAUAAUCACAAGCCGAUCAGAGAAAGUGGCCAGUCUUGGAACAACGGAAGCCGUCAGGCUAAACUAUUUGUCUAAAGAAGCUUACUGGUAUUUCUUCAGGAUGCUCGUGUUUGGUAGCACGGAUCCGGAGGAGCACCCGAAGUUAACAUCCAUAGCCAUGGAGAUAGCCGUAGAGAUGUGUGGAUCUUUCUUAUACGCAUAUGUUGCUGCUGCCUUACUGAGAGAAAAUCUUAGUGCUCGGUUCUGGUACAGGGUUCUCAGACACCUUAGGGAGUACAAGCAGAAGAAUAUCUUGUUGUUAGGUGAAUAUCCUGCUGAGGAAGAUCAGCCUCGGUAUAUUUUGAGCUUGGCUAAAAGGCGGCAUGGUUCUGAGGAUACUAAGUUCCUUUUGCAAAGUAGUCACUGCCACAAUGGUCCUGCUUCUCAUGGUGGGCUUCCGAAGAUAACAAUGGUGGAUCUGCUAUCCGGCACCUGGAGCGCUAUGCCAAGGGGAAAAUUUGAGGUCUUGUCCUGGAGGUCUGUCAUACCACCGUACUACAGCUACACAACUGCUUGCGAGUUUGUCCGGCACAGCAGUAGUACCACAGCAUAGAUGAAGAAGAGAAGCGCUCUUUGGCACCGUGGUGACAUUGCUUUGAUUUACUGGUGGUUCUCUUCUUGUCUAUGGACCAUGGCUCACCUGAUUGGUUGAUGAGACUUCCUUGCUUUGCUGGUGUAAAAGUUGAUGAUAUUUAUUUAAGUUGAUCUGGUUCUUGACUCGAUCUUGUAUGGAGUAUACUGUGACUGGUAUCCGGUACAUAUGGCUCCCUAAUUACCGGUUGUGUUUGUAAUCACUUUUGCCAUCUUCAUCUGAAUAAAUAAGCCCUUGGCUAA